rfam:Ixodes scapularis strain Wikel colony gcontig_1107729119222, whole genome shotgun sequence.
GCAGUCGUGGCCGAGUGGUUAAGGCGAUGGACUAGACAUCUUUUGGGGUCUCCCCGCAAAGGCUCGAAUCCUGUCAAAUGCG